AGUGAACGCUGGCGGUAGGCCUAACACAUGCAAGUCGAACGGCGGCACAGUAAGAGCUUGCUCUUACGGGUGGCGAGUGGCGGACGGGUGAGGAAUACAUCGGAAUCUACUUUUUCGUGGGGGAUAACGUAGGGAAACUUACGCUAAUACCGCAUACGACCUACGGGUGAAAGCAGGGGAUCUUCGGACCUUGCGCGAUUGAAUUAGCCGAUGUCGGAUUAGCUAGUUGGCGGGGUAAAGGCCCACCAAGGCGACGAUCCGUAGCUGGUCUGAGAGGAUGAUCAGCCACACUGGAACUGGGACACGGUCCAGACUCCUACGGGAGGCAGCAGUGGGGAAUAUUGGACAAUGGGCGCAAGCCUGAUCCAGCCAUACCGCGUGGGUGAAGAAGGCCUUCGGGUUGUAAAGCCCUUUUGUUGGGAAAGAAAAGCAGCAGGUUAAUACCCCGCUGUUCUGACGGUACCCAAAGAAUAAGCACCGGCUAACUUCGUG
rnacentral:rRNA from 1 species